AACGAACGCUGGCGGCAGGCCUAACACAUGCAAGUCGAGCGAGAUCUUCGGGUCUAGCGGCGGACGGGUGAGUAACGCGUGGGAAUAUGCCUCUUGGUACGGAAUAGCCUCGGGAAACUGGGAGUAAUACCGUAUGUGCCCUUUGGGGGAAAGAUUUAUUGCCAAGGGAUUAGCCCGCGUUGGAUUAGGUAGUUGGUGGGGUAAUGGCCUAUCAAGCCGACGAUCCAUAGCUGGUUUGAGAGGAUGAUCAGCCACACUGGGACUGAGACACGGCCCAGAAUCCUACGGGAGGGAGCAGUGGGGGAUCUUAGAAAAUGGGGGCAACCCUGAUGUAGCCAGGCCGGGUGAGUGAUGAAGGCCUUAGGGUUGUAAAGCUCUUUCAGCUGGGAAGAUAAUGACGGUACCAGCAGAAGAAGCCCCGGCUAACUCCGUG
rnacentral:rRNA from 1 species